rnacentral:rRNA from 1 species
AGAGUUUGAUCAUGGCUCAGAUUGAACGCUGGCGGCAGGCCUAACACAUGCAAGUCGAGCGGUAGCACAGAGAGCUUGCUCUCGGGUGACGAGCGGCGGACGGGUGAGUAAUGUCUGGGAAACUGCCUGAUGGAGGGGGAUAACUACUGGAAACGGUAGCUAAUACCGCAUAAUGUCGCAAGACCAAAGUGGGGGACCUUCGGGCCUCAUGCCAUCAGAUGUGCCCAGAUGGGAUUAGCUAGUAGGUGGGGUAACGGCUCACCUAGGCGACGAUCCCUAGCUGGUCUGAGAGGAUGACCAGCCACACUGGAACUGAGACACGGUCCAGACUCCUACGGGAGGCAGCAGUGGGGAAUAUUGCACAAUGGGCGCAAGCCUGAUGCAGCCAUGCCGCGUGUGUGAAGAAGGCCUUCGGGUUGUAAAGCACUUUCAGCGGGGAGGAAGGCGUUAAGGUUAAUAACCUUGGCGAUUGACGUUACCCGCAGAAGAAGCACCGGCUAACUCCGUGCCAGCAGCCGCGGUAAUACGGAGGGUGCAAGCGUUAAUCGGAAUUACUGGGCGUAAAGCGCACGCAGGCGGUCUGUCAAGUCGGAUGUGAAAUCCCCGGGCUCAACCUGGGAACUGCAUUCGAAACUGGCAGGCUAGAGUCUUGUAGAGGGGGGUAGAAUUCCAGGUGUAGCGGUGAAAUGCGUAGAGAUCUGGAGGAAUACCGGUGGCGAAGGCGGCCCCCUGGACAAAGACUGACGCUCAGGUGCGAAAGCGUGGGGAGCAAACAGGAUUAGAUACCCUGGUAGUCCACGCCGUAAACGAUGUCGAUUUGGAGGUUGUGCCCUUGAGGCGUGGCUUCCGGAGCUAACGCGUUAAAUCGACCGCCUGGGGAGUACGGCCGCAAGGUUAAAACUCAAAUGAAUUGACGGGGGCCCGCACAAGCGGUGGAGCAUGUGGUUUAAUUCGAUGCAACGCGAAGAACCUUACCUGGUCUUGACAUCCACAGAACUUAGCAGAGAUGGUUUGGUGCCUUCGGGAACUGUGAGACAGGUGCUGCAUGGCUGUCGUCAGCUCGUGUUGUGAAAUGUUGGGUUAAGUCCCGCAACGAGCGCAACCCUUAUCCUUUGUUGCCAGCGGUCCGGCCGGGAACUCAAAGGAGACUGCCAGUGAUAAACUGGAGGAAGGUGGGGAUGACGUCAAGUCAUCAUGGCCCUUACGACCAGGGCUACACACGUGCUACAAUGGCAUAUACAAAGAGAAGCGACCUCGCGAGAGCAAGCGGACCUCAUAAAGUAUGUCGUAGUCCGGAUUGGAGUCUGCAACUCGACUCCAUGAAGUCGGAAUCGCUAGUAAUCGUAGAUCAGAAUGCUACGGUGAAUACGUUCCCGGGCCUUGUACACACCGCCCGUCACACCAUGGGAGUGGGUUGCAAAAGAAGUAGGUAGCUUAACCUUCGGGAGGGCGCUUACCACUUUGUGAUUCAUGACUGGGGUGAAGUCGUAACAAGGUAACCGUAGGGGAACCUGCGGUUG